UCGUGCGAGUUCAGACUCGCGGCACCGAGCUCAGUAACACGUGGCCAAACUACCCUACAGAGACGGAUACCCUCGGGAAACUGAGGUUAACCCGUCAUACCGAUCUCAGGCUUGAAUCGCAGAGAUCACAAAACGCCCCGGCGCUGUAGGAUGUGGCUGCGGUUGAUUAGGUAGACGGUGGGGUAACGGCCCACCGUGCCCAUAAUCAGUACAGGUUGUGAGAGCAAGAACCUGGAGACGGAAUCUGAGACAAGAUUCCGGGCCCUACGGGGCGCAGCAGGCGCGAAACCUUUACACUGCACGCACGUGCGAUAAGGGGACUCCGAGUGCGAGGGCAUAUCGUCCUCGCUUUCGUGUACCGUAAGGUGGUACACCAACAAGGGCCUGGGCAAGACCGGUGCCAGCCGCCGCGGUAAUACCGGCAGCCCAAGUGAUGGCCGAUCUUAUUGGGCCUAAAGCGUCCGUAGCUGGCUGCUCAAGUCCGUCGGGAAAUCCACUCGCCCAACGAGUGGGCGUCCGACGGAAACUGCACA
rnacentral:rRNA from 1 species